rnacentral:rRNA from 1 species
CCUACGGGUGGCAGCAGUCGAGAAUCAUUCACAAUGGGGGAAACCCUGAUGGUGCGACGCCGCGUGGGGGAAUGAAGGUCUUCGGAUUGUAAACCCCUGUCAUGUGGGAGCAAAUUAAAAAGAUAGUACCACAAGAGGAAGAGACGGCUAACUCUGUGCCAGCAGCCGCGGUAAUACAGAGGUCGCAAGCGUGGUUCGGCAUGACUGGGCGUAAAGCGUGAGUAGGCUGUUUCGUAAGUCGUGUGUGAAAGGCGCCGGCUCAACCCGCGGACGGCACCUGAUACUGCGAGACUAGAGUGCUGGAGGGGGGAGCGGAAUUCUAGGUGUAGCAGUGAAAUGCGUAGAUAUCGAGAGGAACACUCGUGGCGAAGGCGGGUUCCUGGACAUUAACUGACGCUGAGGCACGAAGGCCAGGGGAGCGAAAGGGAUUAGAUACCCGUGUAGUC